rnacentral:rRNA from 1 species
AGAGUUUGAUCAUGGCUCAGAUUGAACGCUGGCGGCAGGCCUAACACAUGCAAGUCGAGCGCGAAAACACUUCGGUGUGAGUAGAGCGGCGGACGGGUGAGUAAUGCUUGGGAAUCUGCCCAGUAGUGGGGGAUAACGUGUGGAAACGCACGCUAAUACCGCAUACGUCCUACGGGAGAAAGCAGGGGAUCUUCGGACCUUGCGCUAUUGGAUGAGCCCAAGUCAGAUUAGCUAGUUGGUGAGGUAAUGGCUCACCAAGGCGACGAUCUGUAGCUGGUCUGAGAGGAUGAUCAGCCACACUGGGACUGAGACACGGCCCAGACUCCUACGGGAGGCAGCAGUGGGGAAUAUUGCACAAUGGGCGAAAGCCUGAUGCAGCCAUGCCGCGUGUGUGAAGAAGGCUCUAGGGUUGUAAAGCACUUUCAGUGGGGAGGAAAAGUUUAAGAUUAAUACUCUUG